rnacentral:rRNA from 1 species
GCGGUGGAGCAUUGUGGUUUAAUUCGAAGCAACGCGCAGAACCUUACCAGCCUUUGACAUGGCAGGACGAUUUUCAGAGAUGGAUCUCUUCCAGCAAUGGACCUGCACACAGGUGCUGCAUGGCUGUCGUCAGCUCGUGUCGUGAGAUGUUGGGUUAAGUCCCGCAACGAGCGCAACCCUCGCCUUUAGUUGCCAUCAUUCAGUUGGGCACUCUAAAGGGACUGCCGGUGAUAAGCCGCGAGGAAGGUGGGGAUGACGUCAAGUCCUCAUGGCCCUUACGGGCUGGGCUACACACGUGCUACAAUGGCGGUGACAGUGGGAUGCAAAGGGGCGACCCCUCGCAAAUCUCAAAAAGCCGUCUCAGUUCGGAUUGUACUCUGCAACUCGAGUGCAUGAAGUUGGAAUCGCUAGUAAUCGUGGAUCAGCAUGCCACGGUGAAUACGUUCCCGGGCCUU